rnacentral:rRNA from 1 species
GGUAACACGAAAUCGUACCCCAAACCGACACAGGUGGUCAGGUAGAGAAUACCAAGGCGCUUGAGAGAACUCGGGUGAAGGAACUAGGCAAAAUGGUGCCGUAACUUCGGGAGAAGGCACGCUGAUGUGUAGGUGAAGUCCCUGCGGAUGGAGCUGAAAUCAGUCGAAGAUACCAGCUGGCUGCAACUGUUUAUUAAAAACACAGCACUGUGCAAACACGAAAGUGGACGUAUACGGUGUGACGCCUGCCCGGUGCCGGAAGGUUAAUUGAUGGGGUUAUCCUUAGGGAGAAGCUCUUGAUCGAAGCCCCGGUAAACGGCG